rnacentral:tmRNA from 1 species
GGGGGCGACCUGGCUUCGACGUGGGUAGCGAAACCUGAGGUGCAUGUCGAGCAUGUAGAUUACUCGUAAAAAUCAUCUGCAAAUUUAUAGUUGCCAACGACGACAACUACGCACUCGCUGCUUAAUACCCAGUAGGGUGCCAUCCGACUGAAGCCGUGCUUGUGCGUUCAGAUUCCGGGUGUCAUCUCUCACAAGAUCGCGAUGGACGCUCUUCCGGGGCUGAAGCGCUAAAACCUUACCGGAAUCGCCGUAUGCCCUCCCUGCCUGUCGGGUAGCAGACGGUUAAAUCAAUAGGCAGAAUAAGCAUGUAGAGCCAACGGCGGAGGACUUGCGGACGCGGGUUCGAUUCCCGCCGCC